CAGCAGCCGCGGGAAUACAGAGGGUGCAAGCGUUAAUCGGAAUCACUGGGCGUAAAGCGCGCGUAGGUGGUUCGCCAAGUUGGAUGUGAAAUCCCCGGGCUCAACCUGGGAACUGCAUCCAAAACUGGCGAGCUAGAGUAUGGUAGAGGGUGGUGGAAUUUCCUGUGUAGCGGUGAAAUGCGUAGAUAUAGGAAGGAACAUCAGUGGCGAAGGCGACCACCUGGACUGAUACUGACACUGAGGUGCGAAAGCGUGGGGAGCAAACAGGAUUAGAUACCCCAGUAGUCCCUGUCUCUUAUAC
rnacentral:rRNA from 1 species